rnacentral:rRNA from 1 species
CACCGCGGUUAUACGAGAGACCCGAGUUGACAAACACCGGCGUAAAGCGUGGUUAGGUUAAAAAUCGUACUAAAGCCAAACAUCUUCAAGACUGUUAUACGUAACCGAAGACAGGAAGUUCAACCACGAAAGUCGCUUUAUCUGAUCUGAAUCCACGAAAGCUAAGGAA